AGCGUACACGGUGGAUGCCCUGGCAGUCAGAGGCGAUGAAGGACGUGCUAAUCUGCGAUAAGCGUCGGUAAGGUGAUAUGAACCGUUAUAACCGGCGAUUUCCGAAUGGGGAAACCCAGUGUGUUUCGACACACUAUCAUUAACUGAAUCCAUAGGUUAAUGAGGCGAACCGGGGAACUGAAACAUCUAAGUACCCGAGGAAAAGAAAUCAACCGAGAUUCCCCCAGUAGCGGCGAGCGAACGGGGAGCAGCCCAGAGCCUGAAUCAGUGUGUGUGUUAGUGGAAGCGUCUGGAAAGGCGCGCGAUACAGGGUGACAGCCCCGUACACAAAAAUGCACAUAUUGUGAGCUCGAUGAGUAGGGCGGGACACGUGGUAUCCUGUCUGAAUAUGGGGGGACCAUCCUCCAAGGCUAAAUACUCCUGACUGACCGAUAGUGAACCAGUACCGUGAGGGAAAGGCGAAAAGAACCCGGCGAGGGGAGUGAAAAAGAACCUGAAACCGUGUACGUACAAGCAGUGGGAGCCUCUUUAUGGGGUGACUGCGUACCUUUUGUAUAAUGGGUCAGCGACUUAUAUUCUGUAGCAAGGUUAACCGAAUAGGGGAGCCGAAGGGAAACCGAGUCUUAACUGGGCGUUAAGUUGCAGGGUAUAGACCCGAAACCCGGUGAUCUAGCCAUGGGCAGGUUGAAGGUUGGGUAACACUAACUGGAGGACCGAACCGACUAAUGUUGAAAAAUUAGCGGAUGACUUGUGGCUGGGGGUGAAAGGCCAAUCAAACCGGGAGAUAGCUGGUUCUCCCCGAAAGCUAUUUAGGUAGCGCCUCGUGAACUCAUCUCGGGGGGUAGAGCACUGUUUCGGCAAGGGGGUCAUCCCGACUUACCAACCCGAUGCAAACUGCGAAUACCGGAGAAUGUUAUCACGGGAGACACACGGCGGGUGCUAACGUCCGUCGUGAAGAGGGAAACAACCCAGACCGCCAGCUAAGGUCCCAAAGUCAUGGUUAAGUGGGAAACGAUGUGGGAAGGCCCAGACAGCCAGGAUGUUGGCUUAGAAGCAGCCAUCAUUUAAAGAAAGCGUAAUAGCUCACUGGUCGAGUCGGCCUGCGCGGAAGAUGUAACGGGCUAAACCAUGCACCGAAGCUGCGGCAGCGACACUAUGUGUUGUUGGGUAGGGGAGCGUUCUGUAAGCCUGUGAAGGUGUACUGUGAGGUAUGCUGGAGGUAUCAGAAGUGCGAAUGCUGACAUAAGUAACGAUAAAGCGGGUGAAAAGCCCGCUCGCCGGAAGACCAAGGGUUCCUGUCCAACGUUAAUCGGGGCAGGGUGAGUCGACCCCUAAGGCGAGGCCGAAAGGCGUAGUCGAUGGGAAACAGGUUAAUAUUCCUGUACUUGGUGUUACUGCGAAGGGGGACGGAGAAGGCUAUGUUGGCCGGGCGACGGUUGUCCCGGUUUAAGCGUGUAGGCUGGUUUUCCAGGCAAAUCCGGAAAAUCAAGGCUGAGGUGUGAUGACGAGGCACUACGGUGCUGAAGCAACAAAUGCCCUGCUUCCAGGAAAAGCCUCUAAGCAUCAGGUAACAUCAAAUCGUACCCCAAACCGACACAGGUGGUCAGGUAGAGAAUACCAAGGCGCUUGAGAGAACUCGGGUGAAGGAACUAGGCAAAAUGGUGCCGUAACUUCGGGAGAAGGCACGCUGAUAUGUAGGUGAAGUCCCUCGCGGAUGGAGCUGAAAUCAGUCGAAGAUACCAGCUGGCUGCAACUGUUUAUUAAAAACACAGCACUGUGCAAACACGAAAGUGGACGUAUACGGUGUGACGCCUGCCCGGUGCCGGAAGGUUAAUUGAUGGGGUUAGCGCAAGCGAAGCUCUUGAUCGAAGCCCCGGUAAACGGCGGCCGUAACUAUAACGGUCCUAAGGUAGCGAAAUUCCUUGUCGGGUAAGUUCCGACCUGCACGAAUGGCGUAAUGAUGGCCAGGCUGUCUCCACCCGAGACUCAGUGAAAUUGAACUCGCUGUGAAGAUGCAGUGUACCCGCGGCAAGACGGAAAGACCCCGUGAACCUUUACUAUAGCUUGACACUGAACAUUGAGCCUUGAUGUGUAGGAUAGGUGGGAGGCUUAGAAGUGUGGACGCCAGUCUGCAUGGAGCCGACCUUGAAAUACCACCCUUUAAUGUUUGAUGUUCUAACGUUGACCCGUAAUCCGGGUUGCGGACAGUGUCUGGUGGGUAGUUUGACUGGGGCGGUCUCCUCCUAAAGAGUAACGGAGGAGCACGAAGGUUGGCUAAUCCUGGUCGGACAUCAGGAGGUUAGUGCAAUGGCAUAAGCCAGCUUGACUGCGAGCGUGACGGCGCGAGCAGGUGCGAAAGCAGGUCAUAGUGAUCCGGUGGUUCUGAAUGGAAGGGCCAUCGCUCAACGGAUAAAAGGUACUCCGGGGAUAACAGGCUGAUACCGCCCAAGAGUUCAUAUCGACGGCGGUGUUUGGCACCUCGAUGUCGGCUCAUCACAUCCUGGGGCUGAAGUAGGUCCCAAGGGUAUGGCUGUUCGCCAUUUAAAGUGGUACGCGAGCUGGGUUUAGAACGUCGUGAGACAGUUCGGUCCCUAUCUGCCGUGGGCGCUGGAGAACUGAGGGGGCUGCUCCUAGUACGAGAGGACCGGAGUGGACGCAUCACUGGUGUUCGGGUUGUCAUGCCAAUGGCACUGCCCGGUAGCUAAAUGCGGAAGAGAUAAGUGCUGAAAGCAUCUAAGCACGAAACUUGCCCCGAGAUGAGUUCUCCCUGACUCCUUGAGAGUCCUGAAGGAACGUUGAAGACGACGACGUUGAUAGGCCGGGUGUGUAAGCGCAGCGAUGCGUUGAGCUAACCGGUACUAAUGAACCGUGAGGCUUAACC
rnacentral:rRNA from 1 species